rnacentral:lncRNA from 1 species
CUAAAGCUUAAAAGAAAUCGAUAUGUCUCAUUCUUUCUCUGUUGGAACCCAUCUGCAAAAUCACGCCCGUGAACCGGGACACAUCCGGGCAACUGGACCGGUUCAGGCAUGUCCCUAUACUCACAGCUAAACUUAACAUCAAGCUCAGGUAAAUGGAAGAGAAAAGACAGUGCCAUGGCCGUUGUAGUAAAGAAAACAUAAGCAGGAACACCGACUUCAUUUGCCACAUCGAACGCAGCCGACCCAAAAGGAUCAACAACUAGAGCAACUAGCCGAGUUGACUCGGCUAACACCUUGAGAGCAUCCCUUAGUGAAGAAAGGGAGCGAACGAGGGUGAGGGUGAUCCGAGUUUCUAUCUGAAAGUCGUCAGGCAAGUCAUCAAAACUCACAGGAGGAAGAAAGAUGGUGGAAAUGGAAGUGGGUAGGGAUUCGAGGACCUGUCUUAUUGUUUGAAUGGAUGAGCCUGUGCCAUCAUCGAUGGUGGGGAUGAAUAUGGUAACUAGAAAGUUGUAUUGAUGUACUAGUCGCUUGGCUAACUCAACUAGGGGAAUUAGGUGACCUAUGCCUGGCGUUGGCACCAUGGCUACAUAGGCACGAGGUAUUUGUUUUGAUUUUUGGGUCUCCAUUUUUAUCGGGUUUCUUUUGAAGUAGUGAUGUAAUUGAGAUAUAUUUUCUUCUGGGAAAUCAAGGUUUGUAACUAAGUAUAUGGAGGGCAAAACCUUGUCUGUGUUGGGUGCACUAUUCUGAUCAAGUGGUUUGCACAAUUAUAGAGGAACAUCUAAUUGGUCUAUGAGUCCCAUAAUAAGAACCAGAAAUUUUUUAUUUUAAUUUUUAAACGUUAUGAAUUAUUUGCAUUAUUGUGUUUCAUCGUGUGGACCCAUAAACCGACGCACGCACCACAUCAACCGCAGAAGUCCUUCUCUACAUAAAUUCGAUGUAAACUACAAAAAAAAUUGAUCUAUUGUGAUGGAAAAAAAUUAUCUUUAUAUAUAUAAAAUCUGUCACAAAAUAAAUUUAAUGACAUACUAUAUAUCGUUGUUUAUGUGUCGCAUUUGCCACCGUCACUAAUACAUUUAGUGGCAAUUAGUAAAUAAUCGCAAGUAUUAUGUGUCACUAAUACACAUCUUAUAGUGACAAAUAUAAGUUUAUGACAAGUAAGGACAAAAGCAAAAACCUGUCACUAAAAUCAUAUUUUUAGACAUAUAAAUCUGUCAUUAUUUUGAUACUAGGGGCUAUUAAUGUGUCAUUAUGUUGAUACUAGUGACUGUUAAUGUGUCGUUAUUUAUAUAGUUAGAGAUAAUUAAAUUAGUCAUUGAUGAUCAUUGUUGACAAUGAAAUGUGCCACUAUAGAUUCAAUUAGUGACAAUUUAUUUAGUCAUUACCAAAUUAAAUAUGACACUUGAAUGUAUUGCUAUUAAUAUCAUUAGUGACAAUUAAUUCAGUCAUCUCAAUAGUGAUGUAAAAUUUUGUCUCAAUGAAUAUAUUAGUGACAUCAAAUCAGUUAUUAUAUAUUUAAAUUUUGUAACAAUUUAAUCUGUCACAAAAUAUUUGUCCCUAAUGUUUGACAUAAGAGAUAAUACAAUCAAUGCAUAUGUGACAAGCGUGACUGAUUUUAAUUUAUCAUCAUAUGAAUGAAAUUUAAUAAAAUAAAUACAUAAAUAUUAUAAUAUUAUUUUCUUAUUAUAUAAUUGAUAUGAUACUUCUGAUGUAUUCUAAAAGUUUUUCAAGAGUGAUUCUUACAUAUAGUUUGCAACCUAUAUAAGUAUAGCGGAAGCAUUAAAAGUCAUAAACAUAAAAAUGUUUAUAUAAUAUACAAAUCCUCACACAACAUAAGAUUUUAAAAUGCAAAAAAAUUACAAUGAGUACAAAAUUUAGCAAGCAAACCAGUUUUUUACUAUGUCAAACUACAUACAUAUUUAUAUAUAUUGCAAAUGCAUGAUAUGCAAUUGUUUGUUGAGAAUAUCGUAAAAUAAAUCCAUCAAUAUCUCAUACUUUCACAUUUUCUUUCAAAUCACUUAUUUUAACUACAUUUAUUCAAUUAUCGCUUAGUAGGUUUCUCACUGAAUAUCUAGACUUUCAUAUAACACCAUUUUGGACUUCACGCAAGCAUCCUUCACCCACUUCUCUCUUAACAUAAUAUAUAAUGUAUCUAGUAAAAUAAGUAAUGAAUUCAAGCACCCAAGGAAAAAAAAAAGAAAUUUGUUUACUUUCAUCCUUAAGAAUUAAUUCGCUAAAAAUCCACUUUCUCAUUUUAUAAAAGACAAAAUGCACAUUCAUGCUUAUUCCAGUAGCCCUUCACAUAUACAUAUGUCCAUGUAUACAAUCACACUUAACACAUAACAAUACAUGACAUAGACACAUGGGUAAAAUCACAUAAAUUCAUAUCCAUAUACAUAACAAAAAUAGACUUUUCAAUUAUGUCAAACACAUACUUAUUUUUAUUGUAAUUCAUUUAGAAGCUUGGUUUACUUAUUUCUUCUAGAGUCCAUAAGUAACAAAAGUGUAUCAAAAUCUUUGGUCUAAAAUGAAUAUAUAAUAAAUAUUCUCUUAAGAUACACGAAUAAGAUCAUAAUUAUAAAAUCCAAUGUCCUCAAAUUCCUCAUUAUAAACACCUAAUAAACUCAGCCUAAAAAAAUCUCAAUACUUGUUCUAAGAUGGAAUAGGCCCUAUUCUCUAAUUUUUAAUAAAUUAUUCCUUUAUCGGAAAAAAAAAAAUCUUCAAUCUUUUAGAGAACAUGCUGACAUAUUGAAAAUUUAGAAUAAAAGUUCCAUACCUUAAUUCCUUCAAAAACUACUAAAAAAUAUUUUUGUUUCAGACUUCAUUAAAACUCUCAAACUAUUUAUUGUUUUGAACAUACUCACUUUAAAAAUACAAAACAAUUUAUCCUUUUAUCAUAAUAAUCAUGAAAAGUUUCAUAACCAUACUAGACAAAUAUACAAAUCACUAUUCCAAAUUUCAUAAUUUUUAAAAAAAUCUAGGUAUUGAUAAAAUGAUUUUGCAAUUCAUGAUCUUCACCAGAAAUAGAAAUUUCUAAAGUUUUAAGACUUGCAUUUUAAAAAUCAUAAUAAAUUGAAUUUUUAUAUGAUUAGUUUUUUUUCAAAACAUUCUUGAAAAUGUCUAGUUUAACAUACAAAACACAAAAUAAAUACUAAUUUGUACUAAUUAUUAUGAUUUUGGAAGCAACCCAUUAUUAGCAUAUUUUCACGCAAAAUCUAAGAUACUGCUCCUACUACUAUUAUCUUAUCAUGAUUUUCUAUUCAUUCAUAAACACAAAAAAUAGACUCAUUUCUUUGAUCUCUUUUCUCUUUCCAUUGAUUUACUCAUGGUCAAACUAAGAAGAAUAGUUUUUUUUUUCUUCUCUUCUUCUUUUCUUUUCUUUUAUUUUUCUUCUUCAUCUCUUUACUGCUCUCUCUUUCUCUCUCUCGUAAAAUAGAGAUAUCAUCUUUUUCCCUUUAUACUUAAGACAAGGGAAAGAAAAUAAAUACUUUAAUAAAAUAACUAAGAUACCCUUGAUCAAUUUGCUAAAAUACCCUAGAAAAAUAAGGGGUAUUACAAUCAGAGUGAAAAAAAUUGUUAUUGAUCUUGGACAUAAAAGCAAAAGGUGGAUUAUGAAAAUGAAAGCAAUAGCAUAGUUUAUCGAAUAUUAAUUGGUAUCAGUAUGAUGUACUAUUACUUGCAUGCAUUUGUUUAUUAUCAGCGUAUUCAUAAAGAAAUCUGUCAUUUUUUAUAGUCUAUAGUUGUUGUGUUGUGUAUCCGGUGCAAUACAUGCUGAUCACAAAUUAAGAUUCUCUCAUAAUUUUAUCUUUUAGUAGAGUAAAUAGAAACAUGUGAUUGAAAAACAUAAAUAUACUCGGUUAUAAGAUAAUUUUAUUCACUGACCUUUGGAUACUAUCUAAUGGAUAAAGUACUUUAUUUUUUUUUAUUUUCCCUUUCAUGCAUACUUUAAGCUAUUUUACCUUCUUUUAUUUUUGAACUAGUUCAUUAUAUCAAUAUUAGAAGUAUGUGUUACGUACAUGAAAGUUGUUUAUGCCGAAAAAUGAUACAAAAAAUGUUUUCUUGAUCAAUUUGGGUAUCAUAGAUAGUGGUAUCACCUCAUCCUUCGUGUAAACUUGAGUACGGAUGUCCUCUUAUUUUUGUGGAUCACCCACUUAAUUAAGUGACCCCUUUUAGACUUACCUGUUCAACAAUGGAUCUUUUAAGUGCAAUUUCUUACUUGCUUAUGGUUGAUAUGGUCGAGAUCCAUCAGCUGCAAAUGAACUAAUCAAGUUAUCCCUAAUUUUAAUAGACAUAAUACAUAAUAAUUUGUUGAUUUAUUGUCCAACUAAAAAGCUAAUUUAUCAUAACAAAAGUAUAAUCAAAACUCAAUUAUGAAUUGAGAUCUCUCAAUUUUGCAUCAUUUACUAACUUAGCUUUAUGUGUCAUUUGUAGGCUUGGAAAGGAAAAAAAAAAAAAAAAGGCCCGAGUUGUUCCAGCUNNNNNNNNNNNNNNNGGUACAGCAGGGGUCUGAACAAGGGAUUAAGCAAAAAAGCUCGGGCCAGACCCAACCCUCUAUUUUUUAAAUAAAAAGUAAAAUAUAUAAAAUAAUAAGAAAAAAAACUUAAAUCCUUAAUUCAUAAAUUUAUGAUAAUUCAAAAACCCUAAAAUUAAAAUGUUGGGUUCUCUCUUGAACCUUAAUUAAUUAAGAGAAUACUUAAAUUAGAGAAUCUAGUACUAAAAAAAAUUAAAAUCUAUAAAAUUUUAUUUACUUCAAUAUCUUUAUUUAUCAUUUUAUUUUGAAACUGUCACUUUCUUUAAAUUAUUACUAAUUAUAAUAACUGUUGAUUAUUAACUCAUUAUAAGUUUAUAACAAUUUAAAAAUAAUUAAAAAAAGUGAAAGCCCAAGCCCAAGCCUGUAUUUUGCCAUCCUUAGUCAUUACAUACAUGUACAAACAUAUGAAAUAUAAAAAUGAUGUCAAAACUGCUAAAGGAAAAAAAAUAAAGUACAAAAAAUUUACUUUAAUUAAUAUAAUAUAUGAUACAUAUCUUUAUUGAAUUGGUUCAUGCCCCCAAUUUUGUCCUCGAUUUUAUACAUCUAUUAUUUUCCAUCCCAAUUUUGUAAUCAUUUUUACACAUCUAUUAUUUUUCUAUCCCAAUUUUAUACUUGUUUCUACACUUUUAUUACUUUCUUAACUUUUAUGAAAUGUUGUGAAAAUCAGUUUACAAAGUGGGGCAAAAUGAGUAGAAAUUGGUUCAUUGAGUUUAUUGUUUGGAGGAAAAAGUAAGGGGGAUUGCCAAUUUCUCCCCUACGGUAAUUAACAUAUACCAUUUUUCUCCCUGCUGUUUUUUUACUGGCCAAAAACCUCUCUGAUAGCAUAAGUUUACAAUAUUACCCUAAUUUUCAACAACUCUUUUAUUUAUAUUUAUUAUCAAUUAAAUAAAUGACAUGAAUAGAAACUAAAAAAAAUAAGCAUUAAAAACAAGAAAUAUAUGUUUUGAUAUGAGAAAAAAAUUAAUAAUAAAUUUUUUUUUGUACUUAUUUUUUAAAAAUUUUCUUAUAAUAAAUAUAUAAGAAAGUUAUUAUACAAUGAUAAAAAAAUUAUUAUAAGAAAAUUUGAAUGACAAAUAAAAAUUUAUUAUAAGAUAAAUUAUAAAAUAUUUUGCCUAUACUUUUUACAUUUAAUUUUAAAUAUUACAAAAUUUUUAUUAUAAGAAAAUGUUCACAAAAUAAAUAAUUACAAGAAAAAAAUUUUAUUAUUAAUUUUUUUGCUCAUAUCAAAAUAUAAUGUUCACAAAAUAAAUAAUUACAAAAAAAAUUUAUUAUUAAUUUUUUUCUCAUAGCAAAACAUAUAUUUCUUGUUUUUAAUACUUAAUUUUUUUAUGUAGUUUCUAUUCAUGUAAUUUAUUUAAUUUAUAAUAAAUGUAAAUAAAAGAGUAAUUAAAAAUAAGGGUAAUAUUGUAAAAUUAUACUGUCAGUGGGGUUUUUUGGCUAUUAUAAAAACAGCAGGGGGGUAAAUGGUAUAUGUUGAUUACUGUAGGGGGGAAGUGGCAAUCCCUCGAAAAAGUAAAGUAGCUUGAGCUACCUUUCUAUAAAAAUUUUUAGGUUUUUUUCUUUAUUCAAAAUAAUAGAAUAGUUACAUAUUUUGCAUAGACCUUUUAGUCUUGAAAAAGUGAGAUGUUGCACAUAUGUUUUAACUAGAUUUUGGUGGAUCCAAUAAGAACAAAUACAUCUAUUUGAGGUGGGAUGAGGCUGCCUUUCUAAGCUUGUAGUGUGCUCUUGCAAGAAGGAGGAGGAUAGUUGUGUGAGUAAGAUGUUCAGCAAGGGGAAUGAAAAUAAGAUGAAAAUGGAGUAAAAAUCACCAGACCUUGAGCUAAGAAAACCUGCAAUACAGAAUAAACUGAGGUUAAAGGUGGAGCUAGCAGUGGCCUACAACCACAGUCCGACACCCAAGUAAAAUUUUGGAUGUUAAAAUAGCAACAUCAAGUCUAAGGGAUCUUAAAGCUAUAACAAUGGUAUUUUUGCUCUUAGAAGAAGAAGAAGAAGACUCUAAUUUUUUGAAUAAUGAAGAAGUUAUCAUUUUUGAAGAUACUAUUGAGCUUUUGUAGAGUGUGCUUAAGGGUCAUUUUAGUCCUUUUUAAUAGUUGACCCCCCUUAGGUGAGGUUGUUGAAGAAAUUUGCAUUGUGGUACCCUGAUGGUGACACCCGUGACUUGAGAGUCAAGAAAACCUUAGCCACUUUUUUACCUCCUCAGUAGGGCAUGUGGCAGCCUCUCUCAGUCUUGUGGUCUUACUGCUUUUUAGGGGAUAAAAAAGGAUAGCUGAGGUGGAUUUCUUUCGUUACUCGGCCGAAAAUCUUUAUUUUUAUUAUUCUUAGCUAAAAGGAAGAAUUUUUUUUUCUCUGCCAUGUCGGCAUACACUGUUUACGCUGGCCCAAACCACAAAAUUCUAAAACCUAAAAGUGUAUUUUCUUGACCUCCACUGGUGUCAUUGCAUGCUGGUAAAAGUGCUAUCUUCUUCAUUUGUUUUUUUCAACAUAAUUCAUUUUCUCUUAACUCAGGUACUUAGACCUGUACAUUAUAAAGCGUUAUUAGGGGUUGGCAAAAACUUUAUCAAAAUCGAAAAAAUUAUGUUUAGUUCAAUUUUUUUUAUUUGGUUCAAUUUUUUUAAGCGAAUGCAUAGAUAUUGAACUGAACCAUUUGGUUUGGUGAGAUUUUUGGAUCAAAAGUUGCAAAACCCAAACCGAACCAAUAAUAUCGUUUAAAUCCUUGUCUUUUAUAAAAUUUAAUAUGGUUCAAUGUUUAGCAAAUGUUGGCAUAUAGAUAAUCUAUUAUGUCCUAAUAUUUUUUGUAAACUUUUCAAAAAGGUGCUUGACCGAAAGUCAACAUGACAAAAUAUCAUUCUAGUCCCUAAUGUUUUGGUAUAGCACAUAAAGUUAUUUCAUUUGUUUACAUUUUGGUCCAAAAGUUUUGAUAUUAAAAACAACAAUAAUUAUUCUGAAAGUUCUUCAUUUUAGUCUAAAUUCUUGCAUUUUUUUGGCGAAUAAAAAUUUUUAAAUUAUUUUAUUUUUUUUAUUAUACAUUGAUUAUAGUAAACCUUGUGUGUAGGUUAACUUGAACCGAAAAAUUGAUUUGUUAAUUUGAACCAUUAAGUGAACCGUUACUGAAAAAUUAAAAUCGAACUGAAAAAUCGAUAACAAAUUGAAAUCGAGUCGAAUUGAACAAUCGGGUCUAGUUUAGUUUUUAUUUUCCUUAAAGACCGAAUGAGUUUUUAAAUUUCGAACCAAACUAAACUGAAAUUGAAAGUUUAUUCCAAAAUCGAAACAAACUGAACCGAAUCAGUGCCCAACCAUAAAUGUAAUGCCCAAAACUUUGACGAUUGUAGCACUGUAACUGGGAUUUGCUAUACCUUAAUUUUGGUUUUUGCCUCUUUCUCAUUCUCUAGUUGAGUUUUUUUCUCUUUUAUAGUUGGAAUUGUUGUUGUUGGAAUUCUAGCCUCGUCCACAACAGCGUGCUCCAUUUUUUCCUUGGCCUCUACCUUUACCUCGAGACCAUUGUCCUAUCUCAUUGCCUUAGCUUGUUAUCUUCUCAUUGCUUGGCAUCUCAAAGAGCUGCUCAUAGAUCUAUUGCUUUUUCUUAUGCUUCUCUUUGUAGGCUUACGGUGAACCUUGAAGUUGCUUGAUUAUAACGGCCUUCAAGUCUUUUAUCACUUCAGUUGUCACAACUAUGUGCUUGAAUCUUAAGCUUAAUGAGCAAAGUAUCUUUUCCAUAAUUUUUACAUCUUUGAUAUUCUCACAGUUUCUUUUUAGUAGGUUUGAAAUUGCCAGAGCUAUUGAAAAAUAAUAAAAAAUGGACUCAGCUUUGCGCAUCUGCAAUGAUUCAAAUUCACCUCUUAGAGUUUGGAGAUGCAUCUUUUCCACUCUCCUAUAUCCUUUAUAAGAGGUUUGAAGUUUUUUUCCAUGCUUUCUUGGCUGAAGUUGAACUCGAAAUCUUCUUAAAUCCAUCAUUAUCUAUUGUUUGAUAGAUAAGGAAGAGAGCUUUCUUGUCUGUAUUUUUUGAAUCCUUUAAACUAUCCUUUUAAUGUUGAGUCAAAGCAAGCCUCCUCUUCUUAAAUCCAUCAUCGCAACCUUUUUCAAUGACUUUCCAAACAUCAUGAGCUCCAAAGAGGGCCUUCAUUUUAUUACUCCAAUUAUCGAAGUUGCUUGCUUUUAGUGAUGGAAUUUAGAAUGGUGCCACACUAUUAUUUGCCAUAACUUUUUAUAGAGUUGAAAUUUAAAAAUUUUGGUUGCAUAGAUGGAUUUAAAACAUCCAAAAUUCUAGGGAAGGAUUCAAACCAAAAUUUCAAAAUUUGGUCAAUGGUCUACGGUCAACGAUUGAUGGUUAGUGGUCAACAACUGAGGUCGAAGGCCAAUUGAUUAGUUCGACUCGAUUGACUUGGCUCGAUUAUGGCUCAAUUUAUUUUAGUUUAGCUUGAUUCAAUGCGGUUCACCUGGUUCAGUUUGGUCCAACUGAGUAAGUCGACUUAGUUUCAAGGUUGAAAAUUUUGGCAGCAUGUAUGGGCACAUUCGGAUUUCGAUCAGGCUGGUUUUUCCAGUUCGAAAUCCUCUUGUCAAGAUCUUCGAUUAGAUAUGCUACAAUAUUCUAUAGGGCACUAGUUAUUAGUUUGGAUACCACUCUGUUGGAGAAUUUGAAUGAUUAAACACUCGAAAUACUCUUUUUUUUUUAUGAACUCAAUACAAUUCCUCAAUUACAACUCUUUUAGAACUAAGAAAGUUUACUACUUCAUGUUGCUUAAACCAACUAAGAAAAGAGGUAUUUAUACUUGCUACAACUUAAUAGUUUUUAUAUGUUAUAAAUAUUUAUAAGGUAAGCAUUUGAUACAUAAUUUAUGGAAAAUAAUUUGAUAAUAUCAUUUUUUGCCAUUUAACAUAAUAUUUAUGCAUAAAAAAGUUGUUAUCUAUUAAUAAAAGAGUUUGUUUAAAAUUCAAAUUGAAUGUAUGUUAAGUAAUUAGUACCAAAUAAAAUUUGAGAUCCCACAAAUUAUAAUAUAACAUCUAAUAAUUAGAUAGGAAUAAAUACAUUUAAUGGGGGUAUUUGUGAGAAAAAAUUAAUUUUCCAUUCAGAGAUAAAGAUUAGGAAAUUUUACUUUUCCAUUCCGAUAAAAAUGUCAUAUAAUAAGACUUCAUAUAUAAAAGCAAAUAAGUCAAAAUAUCAAAACAUCUUAAAUUAAGCUUAAUUAAUAUUUUAGACAUAAAACAAACAACCCGUAAGUCUUAACUUAAGAUAUGAGAUCUUAAGAUAUGAGAUUUUGGAGCUUAACAUCACUCCGACAAAUAAGAGAUUUAGACACCAUCGGCCAUAUCACUCACUCAUGACGUAAUUUGCGUUUUGAGUUUAUGUUUUUAUUUUUUUAAAAAAUAUCUGGCUUAAUGAAUAAUAACUUCCAACUUUUUAUUCGUCUUCUCCCAUUUUCAGUUAAAGUUCCCCAUCAUAAAAAUAAAAAUGUUGAAUGGGAACUUGUGAGAAAGUCUUAUUUUAUUUUAAUUAAACUCUUAUUUAGUAUUGAGAUAUUGUAAUUUUUAAGCUAUAAUUAUUGUAAAUAAAUUUUAAUUAUAAAUAUAAAUUAAUAAUAUUUAAUAAAUAUAAAUUUUAAAUAAUAAUUUUAAUAAAAAUUAUAAAAAUAUUAUAAGUUUGAAACAAAUCAAAUUUAUUUAUAAAUCAAGUAAUUAAUAUUUAUCAAAUUAAUUAAUAAAUUACAUUAAUUUUUAUCAAAUAUUUUGAUAUUUUACCAACCCAAUCUCAAUAGCAAUGUCACACCGUUACCGUAUAAAUCGCUUUACGAGUUACUGAACCACAACCACAAGCACAAGAUUCACCGAUGACCGAUCAUCCUCAUCUUUUGGGAUGAAGAUAUUUGAGCAAGCCAACUACAAAAGAGAUGCACGUUAUCCACGAUUCUAAAAACUAUUGAUUGUCAUUGGGUCUUUCGUGGUGGGGCACAAGCACAUGAUUCACAAUCAUCCUCUGUUUUAGGGUUUUUAGAUUUUUUUUUUCCCCAUAUUGGCGGGCACAACCGAUGUUUUCUUUUUAUCAUUGGAACAUAAUUUUCACCUAUAAUAGAUGAGUUGGAUAGAUUAAGAUAAACUAAUAAAAUUCUUUUUAGUAUCUUAUUAGAUUUUAGUAUUACAUUAUUUUUCUUUCAGACAUAAAGAAUUGUAAGUGACCGAAUUUGUGUUUAUAUUGUGAGGCAUUAUCCUAACUCAUGUUCUGUAUUGUCCUAAGUAUUAUAUUAAGCCUAAUACGACCUUGUAUUUGCGUUGGAUGUGACUUUGACUAAGAUUAUACUUAAAUUUUCCUAAAAACAGUUGCUAUAUAGUCAGGGCUUAUUAAGAUGUAUUUAGCAUAAAAUGUGGAAAACAGACAAAUAUUAUUAACCACUAAUCACAUGUUGCUCAAUACACAGGAGCAGGUCAGAUCAUAAGAUCAAUUUUAUCCGAAAUACUAUGCCCUCUAAUCUUAAAUAUCAGCAGAAAAUGUGCAAGGGAAGUCAUGGAUUCGUGGCACAUAAAAGCUCAGGUAUAAAUGCAUUGUUAUUAUGUUAAUUGAUGAACUACUUGGCCUCAUCCCUAUACCAUCUUAUGGAGAUUUAUUCUAUAUAAUGAUCAUUAAGAUAAAUGAAAGAAAGAAGCAUAAAGUGUUUCAUUUUACUAUUAAUUUUUUGGUCAAUGUAUUUUCGUGCUUGUUAUUUAUGGUGAGCACUUAUACUUAACCCCACCAUGGCAAUAGAAAGUUAGAAACGGUGCGUCCAUGGUGCCAUAUGGAGACAUCGUUUCUGCGUGCAUGAUGGCUAUUUAUCUUUUUUUUUUCUUUUUUGGAUUACCUACUUUCCGAAAAUUUUAAUAGGUAUUUUUUUUUAUUUCAUGACUUUUGCAGUAGGUCCAAUUAAUAUACAAUUUACCUGGGUAAUUAAAUGAUUAAAUAAAAUUAUUUGAAAAACUAUAAUUCGACAUAAUAUCUAUUUAUUGUUAAAAAUUGACUUGUAAGAAGCCGAAGUCCAAAUAUUUUUAGAUUAGGCUACAUGUAAAAUUUUAAGAGAUGCUAGAUAUUAACAUCACUUUAACAAAUAAGAGAUUUAGACACUGCCGACUAGCAUAGUAAGUUUAUUGUUGGAGUUGUGAAGCUCAAAUAUGAACCUGGGGAUUUGUAUGACAUGUCGAUUGUUUGUCAUGAAGUAUAAUGAUUUGUCGUUUGAAUUAGAGUUCAGAGAAGCUGAAUGGAUUAAACGCUAUGUCGGCUGGAUGUGUUAGUAAUGCACGUGAUUCAUCAUAUGAUUCACUAAUUCAAAUGGCAGCCACAUCUGCGUUUUAGCUAGCAGAUUGCAUGAGCCUUUGACAAGUGUCCCAGAGCUAAUUCAAGAAUUGGUUAUUUCAGUUAGAUCACGCGGGAGGCUGAAGUUGGCUAGAAACCCAGGAACGUGAGCUGACUUCUGGGGGCUCUUUCAUCUGGUUCUGAGAGAAGUAUAAAAGAUCCCAGGCUCUGUUACUAAAGGCAUUCUAUUGAGUUGUAUUCACUCUUCAUAUGUGUAACUUGUUCUCUGGAAAUCAGUAAAAGCUUAUUUCUCUUUUCACAGUGGAUGUAGGCAAUAAAUUGGCCGAACCACUAUAAUCCUUGGUGCAAGUAUGUGAUCUGUCUUUUAUUGUUUGUGUGGUUGGGUUUCAAGUGCUUAUACGUAAUUCUUGUACAAAGCUUGGUUUAGUGUUAACUCCAGAUCAGGGUCAAGUUUCAUAGAGUGGGUCUUGGGGAUUCCAAGUUGAUCUUGGAGAUUGAUUUGGAUUCAACAAAUUGGUAUCAGAGCCUAUCUCUGGUUUCUUGGUCUUUGCAAUGGCGUCAACUAAACUGGAAGUGGAGAAGUUUACUGGCGAAAAUGAUUUCCACCUAUGGAGGCUCAAGAUGAGAGCUUUAUUGGUGCAUCAAAGGUUGGAUGUUGCACUCGAUGAUGAAUCAACAUCCAAGAAGCCAAUGAAAGUAACUGAAGAAGAAUUAUCUGAGGUUCUUGAUAGGGCACACAGUGCAAUAAUUCUAAGUCUUGGGGAUGGUGUACUUAGAGAGGUGGGUGGAGAAAGAACAGCAGCAGGUUUAUGGAAGAAGCUUGAAGACUUAUACACAAAGAAGUCAAUGGCUAAAAGACUAGCCACCAAGAAGAAGCUUUAUACCCUGCAGAUGGAAGAGGGAUCAUCAAUUACUUAUCACAUUGAUGCUUUUAACAAGAUCAUCUUGGAUCUUGAAGACAUUAAUGUGAAGAUUGAUGAUGAAGACAAAGCCAUGAUUCUGCUCUGCUCUCUGCCGAGUUCCUAUGAGAAUCUAGUAGAUACUUUGAUGUAUGGAAGACAGACUCUCGCUAUAGGAGAUGUAAAAGAAGCUCUGAGUUCCAAGGCUGCAAUCAAGAAAGAAACCAGGGAUGGAGAAGGGUUGACAGCAAGAGGAAGAGCUGAAAGUAGAGAGACAAGUAAGAACAAGAAGAAGAGAUCAAAAUCCAGGCCAAAGAACUUGAAAUGUUUUCACUGUCAUAAGGAGGGUCAUUUCAAGAAAGAUUGCCCUGAAUUCAAGAACAAGAAGAAUAAAGCAAAGGAGAAGAGUGGAGAUGCUGCUGUUGCAUCAGAAUUUGAAGAAUCUGAUGGCUAUGACUCUGCUGGAGUUCUAAUAGCAACUAAUGCUCAAACAAAAGGUAAUUGGGUUUUAGAUUCUGGUUGUUCCUUCCACAUGUGCCCUAAUAAAACUUUAUUCACAAACUAUGAGACCUGUGAUGGUGGGGUAGUGGUAAUGGGUAAUGAUUCAAGCUGUAGAGUGGUUGGCAGAGGUUCAAUUAGGUUGGAAAUGUUUGAUGGCAUGAUUAGGGAACUGAGGGAUGUCAGGCAUGUGCCUGAUCUCAAAAGAAACCUUAUCUCCCUAGGAAUGCUGGAUAAAAUAGGAUGCCUUGUUAAGCUUGAGCCAGGCACUUUAAAAGUCUUGAAAGGGUCAAUGGUUGUGAUGAAAAGGAACAUGAGCAAUGGUUUGUAUGUGUUACAGGAAUCAGCUAUUACAGGGGAUGUUGCUGUGUCAAACCAGAAAACAAACAAAACCAUGUUGUGGCAUAUGAGGUUAGGCCACAUGAGUGAAAGGGGCUUGGUAGAACUAUCAAAACAGGGAGUCUUAGGAGUAGAUAAGAUAGAGCCUUUGAGAUUCUGUGAAGAUUGUGUCCUAGGAAAAUCUUCAAGGGUGAAAUUCAGUACUGGUAUCCAUAACUCAAAGGGGACUCUAGACUACAUUCAUGCUGAUCUGUGGGGGCCUACACAGACAGCUUCUCUAGGUGGGGCUAGGUAUUUCUUAUCUCUUAUUGAUGAUUUCUCAAGAAUGGUUUGGGUAUUUAGUUGAAGAGCAAAGACAAAGUGUUUGAUCAGUUUAAGAACUGGAAAACUUUAGUUGAAAAUCAGACCAAUAGAAAGGUGAGAAGACUGAGAACAGAUAAUGGGUUAGAGUUCUGCAAUAAGGACUUUGAUGAUUUCUGUACAAAGCAUGGUAUAGUUAGACAUAAAACAGUAAGACACACUCUACAGCAAAAUGGAUUAUCUGAAAAGAUUAACAGGACCCUAAUAGAUAAAGUUAGGUGUAUGCUGAUCCACGCUAAGUUACCCAUGAGUCUAUAGGCUGAAGCUCUUGAUACUGCUUGCUUCAUAGUAAACAUGAGUCCCUCUUCUGGAAUCAAUUUCAGAACCCCAUAUGAGCUCUGGUCUGGUAAACCAGCAGACUAUUCUCAAUUAAGAAUAUUUGGCUGCCCAGCCUAUGCUCAUGUCAAACAAGGGAAGUUAGAGCCCAGGGCCUUCAAAUGUGUGUUCUUAGGAUAUUCUGCUGGUGUGAAGGGUUACAAGCUGUGGUGUACAGACAUGAAGCCACCAAGGGCAAUAAUCAGCAGGGAUGUGGUGUUUAAUGAACAUGAAAUGCUUCAAAACUCAGCUACUGAAAAUCAACCCAUUGAGAGAAAAUCAGGUGGUGACAAGAAGAGUUUUCUUGAGGUGGAGUUUCCAAGCUCUAGCACAGAAGCUGAUAAAAAGACAAGGCCUGAGAAUGCACGUGGAAUAGAUUUGCCUGAACGAGAAGAUGAAUCAGAAGGUGAAGAUGACCUCAGAGAUUAUCAGCUGGUAAGAGAUAGAAAGAAAAGAGAAAUAAAGCCACCUAAGAGGUAUGCAUAUGCAGACUUGAUUGCAUUUGCACUAUCAGCAACACAGGGAAUAGAAGAAGAUGAACUAAAGUCUUACACUGAAGCUGUCAGUAGUAAGGACUCAAAGAAGUGGAUUGCAGCUAUGAAUGAAGAAAUGAGAUCACUGAUCAAGAAUCACACCUGGGAUCUGAUUCCAAAACUAGCAAAAAAGAAAGUUGUUGGCUGCAAGUGGAUUUAUAAGAUCAAAGAGGGUAUACCAGGAGUUGAACCGCUUAGAUACAAAGUCAGGCUGGUUGCCAAAGGCUUCACACAAAAAGAGGGAAUUGAUUUCAAUGAGGUUUUUUCCCCAGUGGUAAGACACUCUUCCUUGAGGAUCUUGUUAGCACUGGUUGCAGUAAAUGACAUGCACCUGGAACAGAUGGAUGUCAAGACUGCAUUCCUUCAUAGUGAAUUUGAAGAAAUGAUUGUAAUGGCACAACCAAGAGGUUAUGAAGAUCCAGCUAAAGCUGACUAUGUGUGUCAUUUGAGAAAGUCUCUAUAUGGAUUAAAGCAAUCCCCGAGACAAUGGUAUUUGAGAUUUGAUAAAUUCAUGGCUGAGAAUAGCUUUCAAAGAUGCUCUUAUGAUUGCUGUGUAUACCACAAAGAUUUGAAGGAUGGGGGUAAGAUCUAUAUGUUGAUGACAUGCUUAUAGCAUGUAACCACAUGGAUCAGAUAGAUAAACUGAAAAAGUAGUUAAGGAAUACCUUUGAGAUAAAGGACCUUGGAGCAGCCAAGAAGAUUCUUGGAGUAGAGCUGCUGAGAGAUAGUAAAAAGGGGAUACUAAAACUGUCACAGCACUGCUAUAUAAAGAAAGUACUUGAGAGAUUUAAAAUGGUGGAUUCAAAACCAGUUCAAACUCCUCUAGCUGCUCAUUUCAGGUUGUCUUGUAAUCAGUGUCCAAGAACUGAAGAUGAAAAAGCUAAGAUGAGCACAACUCCAUAUUCAAGUGCUGUGGGAUACUUGAUGUAUGCCAUGGUCUUAACAAGGCCAGAUAUCUCCCAUGCAGUAAGUGUAGUUUCCAGGUAUAUGGCUAAUCCUGGAAAGGAGCACUGGAGAGCUGUAAAAUAAAUCUUGAGAUAUCUCAGUGGGACUGCUGAUUAUGGCCUCAUCUAUGGUACAAAAAGAGGUACAGAAGUUGAUGUUGAAGGGUAUGUGGAUGCUGACUAUGCAGACGAUCUAGAUAAAAGGAGGUCUCUGACAUGCUAUUUGUUCACACUCAGUGGCUGCACCAUAAACUGGAAAGCUUCACUACAAAGUGUUGUUGCUCUGUCAACAACAGAAGCCGAGUACACUGUGUUGAGUGUUAGAAAAUGUAUAUUUAUAAAGGAGAAAAUCGUCAUUUUACACUACAAGUUUUAUUAACACAUUUAAUUUUAUGAAUUUAACCUUCUUUUGAUUUAAUUCCGUGUGUUUUAUUUUAAUUAAGUAUUUUAUGUAUUUUAGGGGCAUUAUAGUCAUUUCACAAUAAAGGAGAGAUCAGACGGCAAAACGGACAUCACUUUUGAACUCAGGACGGUCGAAAACCUUAGGAGGAGCAUAAAAGGAAAAAUGGCACUAUUCACAUGUACGGUACUAUUCACGUAUACGAUACUGUCUACGUUACUGUUCACGACACUGUUCACAUAGACGGACCGAUGACGUGGCAUUGACCGAUGAUGUGGCAUUAACUGAUGAGGUGUCACGAUCCUGUUGGNNNNNNNNNNNNNNNNNNNNNNNNNNNNNNNNNNNNNNNNNNNNNNNNNNNNNNNNNNNNNNNNNNNNNNNNNNNNNNNNNNNNNNNNNNNNNNNNNNNNNNNNNNNNNNNNNNNNNNNNNNNNNNNNNNNNNNNNNNNNNNNNNNNNNNNNNNNNNNNNUCCAUUUUCUGUAAUUCCCUUUCCAUCUUGUAUUUUCUUCGUAUUUUAAUAAAUUCUCAUUUUGCCCCUAGUUCAAUUAUGAGUGGCUAAUUUUCUUUCAAGCUUGGGUUGAAGGUGAAGUCUCAACAUGUGUCAUGGGCUUUAUUUGGUAAAUUUAUUUUCUCUUCCCCUCUAGUUUUUGUGGAUGUUUUGACUUCUCGUCGACAAAUAAUACUAAUUUUGUCUAGUACCGCCUUGGUUUCACUGGCCCUUUAGUACAAGGUUAUUAUUAUUUGGCACGAUAAGCCCUUAGCACCAUAUUGAUUAGAGCGUGGUUCAUGAGAUGUGGAUUCCCCCCUCAUGAUUUAGUUGACAUUAAUACGGAUUAUUUAGCCCAUGAUGCAUGUUGAUACGGAUCCAGAUACCCAAGUACGUUAUUUCAAUAGAAUUCUCUUCAAUUUAUUCUCACCAUUUCAAUUCCAAAUUUAGAAUUUAUUCUCGCCAUUUUAAUUUAAGUUUUAGCAUAUUCCAAAUCAUUUCCACCAUAAAUCCAACAACCCAUUUACAAAAUUAAUUCUAUACACAAUUAAAAUCCACCUCCUCGUGAGAUCGACACUCGUCACCAUUAGUCUAUACUACAAUAGAUUCGUGCGCUUGCGAGUACAUUAAAAUUUGCACAACACACUGCAGCUGCAGAAGCCUUUAAGGAGGCAAUAUGGCUCAGAGGAAUGGUUACAGAAUUGGGAUUUGAACAAAGACAGGUGGUUGUUCACUGUGACAGUCAAAGUGCUAUUUGCCUAAGCAAGAACCAGGUGCAUCACGAAAAGACAAAGCACAUUGACAUUAAACUUCACUUUUUCAGGCUGGAGGUGUCUAAAGGAGUGGUGAAGCUGAUAAAGGUUCACACUGAUAAUAACCUUGCUGAUAUGUUGACAAAGGUUGUACCAGUUGCCAAGCUGGAGUUCUGCAUGAACUCAGCUGGUAUCUGUAGGCUAUAAAACUGCAGGGAUAAAGUGGAAGGCAGAAACUGAGGAGUAACUUAUUUGAGUUCAAGGUGGAGAAUGUUGGAGUUGUGAAGCUCAAAUCUAAACCUGGGGAUUUGUAUGACAUGUCGAUUGUUUGUCAUGAAGCAUAAUGAUUUGUCGUUUGAAUUAGAGUUCAGAGAAGCUGAAUGGAUUAAACGCUAUGUCGGCUGGAUGUGUUAGUAAUGCACGUGAUUCAUCACAUGAUUCACUAAUUCAAACGGCAGCCACAUCUGCGUUUUAGCUAGUAGAUUGCAUGAGCCUUUGACAAGUGUCCCAGAGCCAAUUCAAGAAUUGGUUAUUUCGGUUAGAUCACGCGGGAGGCUGAAGUUGGCUAGAAACCCAGGAACGUGAGCUGACUUCUGGGGGCUCUUUCAUCUGGUUCUGAGAGGAGUAUAAAAGAUCCCAGGCUCUGUUACUAAAGGCAUUCUAUUGAGUUGUAUUCACUCUUCAUAUGUGUAACUUGUUCUCUGGAAAUCAGUAAAAGCUUAUUUCUCUUUUCACAGUGGAUGUAGGCAAUAAAUUGGCCGAACCACUAUAAUCCUUGGUGCAAGUAUGUGAUCUGUCUUUUAUUGUUUGUGUGGUUGGGUUUCAAGUGCUUAUACGUAAUUCUUGUACAAAGCUUGAUUUAGUGUUAACUCCAGAUCAGGGUCAAGUUUCAUAGAGUGGGUCUUGGGGAUUCCAAGUUGAUCUUGGAGAUUGAUUUGGAUUCAACAUUUAUUUAUUUACUUAUUUAAAUUUUAUUUGACUUAAAUGCAUCAUGAUUAUUGUACUUCUUAUUCAACUCGCCCACAAAGAGAAAAAAAUAAUAACAAAAAAGUGAAUGGGACUUGUUGGAAACCCUCGUCUACUUUUAAAACUCUUGUCUACUUCUAACCAUCAUUAUCAUAUGACCCAGAGCAAGCACAUCAUUAUUCUUUAAUCACCCUCUCUAUUUGGUGAUGAAGAUAACUCGUUAUUCAUAAUUUUUAAAACUUAUUGAUUAUCAUUGGUUCUAUUUUAGUAGUAGGGCAGAAGCUCAAAAAGUGAACUGGUCCUUACAACGACAACAACAAAAGAAAAGAAAAGAAAAGAAAAGAAGGGUGUCCAAAAAUUAAAAAUCUUUUUUGAAUUUUAUCAGUUUGAAUUGUAGUGGUCAAUUAAAUAAGUUGCUUGAAAGUUACUUAGUCACGCCAAAGACACAAAAGUCAAGAGAUUUUGCCAUUAUUAUUUUUAAAAGUGUCAUAAUAGUAUAGUCAUGACGCAUCUAAAUUUAUAUAGUACAAAAUGUGUGACAGGAAUAAAUAUUAUGUUCUAGUCCUAAUUAGCAAAAAAUUUGCAAAGAAAAUCAUUGUUUAUAAAUCAUAGGCAUGGGUGCAGUCUUAUUAUGGUAAUUAAUGUGCCUCAAUAACAUUUUAUUAAGAAGUAUUAUGAUGGUAAUUAAGAUAUAUGAAAGAAAGAACUUUGAAAGGGUUUAUUUUUUAAUUAAUUUUCUAGUCAUAAACGUGUUUUUACCCUUGUUAUUUACUAAUUACUUGCUUUACUAUAUUAUUAAGCGUUAAUUCUUUCUUUUUGUUUUUCUGGAGCACCCAAGAUUAGUAAGUCUGACUAAAUACAGCUGAACUAGAUAUUAUUAAGAGUUAGAUACAGUUGAUGCUGGAGACAGUGCAAUAUUUUUUGGAGAAAGAAAAAAAAAGAAAGAAUUUAAGAUUAGGUGACCAGCUAAUUACACUUGAUUAAUUACUUGAAAAUUGUUAGAUUAGGUCGUUAGGCAUAUACCACGCAAUGUUGCAAUUAUUGGAUUAGCAAAAAAAUAAAGAAGAUUACACAUGCAUUGAAGGAAACCGCAUUACUUUGUCUCAAUUUCCGGGUUCUUCCAUCUCUGAGCCACCUGGGCAAGUGAUUUGGUAGAAGAUCCAUCUGGGCUCAAAGCAUUUGCGGCUGCAUCCUUUAGUGCUCUCAUCUUCUUCCUUAGCAACUUCCCUUCUUCUCCUUGAAUCAAGCCCUUUGCAUAAUUGGCUAUAUCUUCUCUGCCCACCAGACCAUUUUCAUUGACUUUGACCCUGAAUGAGACCUUCAAAUCAUCAGUCAGAAGCACAGCGUUCAUCUUUUGUUCUGAAUAGAGUGGCCAUGCAAUUAUUGGCACACCGUGCACUAUGCUUUCCAAAAUCGAGUUCCAUCCACAGUGACUCAAGAACCCUCCGGUCGAGCCAUGCCUCAGCACCUGAACCUGAGGAGACCAAGAGGGCACCACUAGACCCACCCCUUUAGUCCUGUCCAGGAACCCUUUCGGUAAAAAAUCAAGAGGAUCUUUCAUGCUCUGGACGCUAAAAUAAGUGGCAUUUGCUGCUUCCUCGUGUGGGCUCUUAGCAACCCACAAGAAUCUUUGCCCACUCAUUUCAAGUCCUAAGGCCAAUUCAUUUAACUGCUCCUGUGAUAGCGUCCCUCCACUACCAAAACAAACAAAUAGAACUGACUCACUUGGCUGCUCAUCUAACCACUUCAAACACGCAGGGGAUCUCUUAUUAGUCUCAUUGGUUGAUCCGGUCUGAAUCAACGGUCCAACCGGAUAAACCGGAGGAGGAUUAAAACUCGAUUCUCCUUCCAUUAAAGCCUUGAAAGGCCCCGUUUCCAAUUCCAUAAAACUAUUAACCAUAAUCCCAGCUGCUAAAUGAUACUGUUUCCUAAAGCUUAAAAGAAAUCGAUAUGCCUUAUUCUUUCUCUGUUGGACGGGCUCUAUAAAAUCACGCCCGUGAACGGGGACGCAUCCGGGUAACUGGACCGGUUCAGGCAUGUCCCUAUACUCACAGUUAAACUUAACAUCUAGCUCAGGUAAAUGAAAGAGAAAAGACAGUACCAUGGCCGUUGUAGUAAAGAAAAUAUAAGCAGGAACACCGACUUCAUUUGCCACAUCGAACGCAGCCGACCCAAAACAAUCAACAACUAGAGCAACUAGCCGAGUUGACUCCGUUAACACCUUGAGAGCAUCCCUUAGUGAAGAAAGUGACCGAACGAGGGUGAGUAUGAUCCGAGUUUCGAUCGGAACGUUGUCAGGCAAGUCAUCCAAACUCACCGGAGGAAGAAAGAUGGUGGAAAUGGAAGUGGGUAGGGAUUCGAGGACCUGUCUUUGUGGUUGCAUGAAUGAGCCUGUGCCAUCAUCGAUGGUGGGGAUGAAGAUGGAGACUAGAAAGUUGUGUUGAAGUACUAGUCGCUUGGCUAACUCAACCAGGGGAAUUAGAUGACCCAUGCCCGGCGUUGGCACCAUGGCUACAUGGGCACCGGGUAUUUGUUUUGAGUUUUGGGUCUCCAUUUUUGUAGAGUUUCUUUUGAAGUGAUGUUAUUGACACACGUUUUUUAAGGAAAAUCAUGGUCUAUAACUAAAUAUAUAGAGGGCAAGACGUUGUGUACGUUGGGUGCACUACCAUGUUGAAGUGGUGCGCUCAAUCGUAGAGGAUCAUUUAAUAGGUCCAUGUGUCGAAUAAUAAGAACCACAAAACUUAAAAUAUGUAAUAAGAACCACAAUUUUUUUUAUUUUAAAUGUUCAGAAUUUUAUUGUAUUUAGGAUAUUGCUAAGUCACCUUUUUACAUAUUUUUGAAUGGAAUAUAAGUUAGAGCAACUGUAAUUUAACAAUUAUCUAAUUAAAAUUGUCAUUAAAAUAAAAUAAUUGGCAAAAUCAACUUUUCUCUUGUUUAAGCUAUCUCAUCAUUUUGAAUGAGUGUAUUUUAAUUAAGUCCCAUGGAGCUUAUAAAAUAUGAAUAUUCUUAAAGAUAAUACAUAUAGGUUGUUUUUGGAUGAGUUUAGUAUUUUGUUUUUUUUUUGUUUUAUUGUUUUUUAAUUGUAUGAGUAGGGACUACGAUGAUUUUCUUUUUUUAAUUGGAAUGUGGGUUUUACAUUAUAAAUUCCUUAAUUAGUAGAUUAGUUCAAAUCCGUAAAUUCCUUUAGAACCUCAUAAUAUUUUAGUGUUUGACUUUUUUUUUUCUUUUGGGUUAUAAGAAAUUCAUAGCAAACGUAUUUGUAUUAAUUUGUUAGGCUCUGUCCUAACUUAGGAUUAAUUUCUAUUAUCGGUAACAACUUUUCCAUUAUAGAUAUACAAUUUAUGUUUCUACACAAUGUAUGUUACGGAAAUUUAUUACAUGUAAUAAUAAUGCAGUGACCAAUAACAAAAUAUUUGUUGCAAACAACAGAAACUAGUGGUGGAUGCGUGGUGCAAAUGUUUUAGCAAAGAAUGUUCUUGCAAAUGUAGGAAAAAUUCCUACAGGGAAAGAACUUUGGGAGAAGUUAGAAAAGUUGUAUCAGACAAAGAGCAUUUCAAAUCGAUUGUACCUGAAAGAGCGAUUUCACAUACUGCGAACGGCUGAAGGUACAAAAAUUUCCGAUCACCUUAGUGUUCUCAAUGGUAUUGUGUUAGAACUAGAAGCCAUUGGAGUUAAAAUUGAAGAUGAGGACAAGGCGCUUAGGUUACUAUGGUCACUUCCAACUUCCUAUUAACACUUGUUACCUACUUUGAUGUACAGGAAGGAGACAGUAGAUCUUGAAAAAGUUCCUAGUACUUUACUCUCAUAAAAAAGAAGACUGAGUGGUGAAAGUACUGAAACUACAGAUGUCUCGGCUUUGGCAAUUGUAGAGAAUUGGAAGAAAGAUAAAUCUAAGAAGAAAAGAGUUUGCUCGGGGUGUGGAUAAUCGGGGCACUUAAAAAGAGAUUGUCAUAGUGGAAAUAGAGCAGGAUUGGCAAGUGGCUCCAAAUCAUAUACUGAUAGUAUUGCUAGUGGUAAGUAUCUCAUAAUCGUGGGAGAUGAUGAUCCCUUGUAAAAUAGAUGAUGAUGACAUCCUCAUGGUAUACCGCUAGUACCAUGAAAUAAGAUGUUUUACUACUAGCGGGUCCACAAGAUUUGCACACAAGGCAUGGUUUUGAUGUAGAGUGUGUAGUGGAAUUUAUGUCGAUGGCUGAUGAAUUUCCAAGAAAGCCAACAUGGAAGUUGCACCAUAAAUUUUAGCAGAAUGUUUCGACAUGUGUCGAUGUAAAAUUUUUAGAAUUGGUAAUUAAUUCUAAGUGGUAUACUCUUUUAUGGUGGAGUAUGAUAAUUCUCUAUAGUGAGGAUUAUGACUAAGGUGAAAAUAGUAAGGUUAGUGUGGAGAUUGAUUAGUUCUCAAUCAAAUCUCUAAGUGAGAGAAUGUGAAAAGAGGCAAGCCGGCACCACCCUUCUAGAUGGGGUGCCAGCCAUUAUCAAAAUUCAAAGAUUUGAAUGUUGACAUUCAAAUCUUUGAAUUAAGAGAAAAAAAAAACGCAAAAUGAACAGUAGCCGCAAGAUGAACAGUAGCCACUGGUGGCUAUAAAUAGAGGGGUUCAUCGCUUCAUUUAAAUCAUCCCAAAAUAUUCAUUUCUUCUUGCAUUUAGAGGGAAUUUGAGAGUUGAAGAUAAUUACUCUUAAAUUGAGAGUUUUGGGUGUAUUUGGGGUUUGGGUGAGAGAAAAUUAUUUCUGAAAGUAUGGUUGUAAUGAUUUUUCACAUAGUGAAUAUUUUUCUUUAGUUGUAUUUUUUACAACGGCCUUGAUUUUUCUCCAGAUUUAAAGUUUUCUAUGUAAAUAUUGUGUUGUGAGAUUGAUAUUAUUCUCAAUUUAAUUUUUUUUCUAUUGAUUUAUUACUUGACAAAUUGCUUGGAAAUCCUGGGAGGAAGCUCAAUUUCCUAAUAAUUUGAAAUCAAAAUUCAUCAGCAAGGCCCCAUAAAAAGGGAAUUAAAAGUAGCACAGGGACACUGACAAGCAAACGUCCAUCCUUCUUCCACGAAUGGAGUUAAUAGCUUAAAAAAUGAAGAACAAUGGGUGCAACACGUAGUUAAAAAAUUUAUAACCUUCAACCAUUUUCCUAGCUUUAAGUGUAUAGCUGUAAUGUAGCUUUAAGUGUAUAGCUGUAAUGCUUAAAAGGGGCAAGCAAACUUAAAUCACCUAGUCAUUGAAAUUACUUUACGAGUCGAUCGACCACGACUACAAGCACAUGGUUCACAAAUCAUGCUCCUUUUUGGAAUGAAGAUAGUUGGGCAACCAAUUAUGAGAGUUACACGUUAUUCACGAUUCUAAUAACUAUUGAUUGUCAUUGGUUCUUCUUUAGUGGUGGGGCACAAGCACAUGUUUCACAAUCAUCCUCUGCUUCAUGGUUUUUCUUUUUAUUAUCAUUACUUUGGUAGGCACUACCGACAUUUUCGUUUCAUGAUACCUGAUUUUCAUCUAUAAUAAUUAAGUUUCGAUAGGUUAAGCCAAACUCGUAAAUUUUCUCAAGUAUUGUAUUAAACUUUAGUGUUACGUCAUUUUCCUUUGGGUUAUAAAUAAUUGGUAGUGAAUAUGUUUGCGUUUAUAUUGUUAGUUAUUGUCCUAAGUAUUAUAUCAACCCAACAUAAUCUUAUAUCCGCAUCCGAUGUAAUAUUGAUUAAAACUACACUUAAAUUCUCAUAAAAAUCGUUCCCAUAUAGUCGCAGCAUAUUAAAAAGUAUUUAGUAAAAAACAUGUGAAACGGACAAAUAUUACCAUUAAGAUUCUUUCCCAACUUGAACUCUUCUGAACUUUUAAAAAUCUUAUGCAUUAUGUCCUUUAAUAUUAAUGUAUGACUAAAACUUAUUUAUUUUUAUUUUUUAAUUUAUUACCCGCCAAUCACAUAUUACUCAAUACUCAGAGCAAGCCAAACCAUAAGAGCAUUCUUAUCCUAAACAUUAUGGCCCUAGUAUUAAAUAUCAGCAGAAAAUGUGCAGGGAAAGUCCUGGAUUCAUGGUACGUAAAAGUUCAGGCAUAGACACAAUGAUAUUAUGGUAAUUAAUGUACCCUUCGGCCUCAUUCCUGUACCAUCUUAUUAAGCGCUAAUGUAUAUAAUGGUCAUUAAGUUAAGUGGAAGAAAAAACCCUGAAAGUGUUACAUUUCACUAUUAGUUUUUUGGUCAACGUGUUUUCGUAUGUUAUUCACAAUGAGCACUUAUAUUUUAACGACCAUGGCAAUAGAAAUAGUGUCUACCUGGUGCUAUAUGGAGACAUCGUUUCUAUCUCCAUAAUGGCAGCAACAACAACAAGAAGAAGUUCAUAAUAUUAUAGCCACGACACAUCUAAAUUUAUUUAGUACAAAACAUGUGAAAUGAGUAAUAUUUUGCCCAAGUCCUAAUUAGCGGAAAAUUUGCAAACUAAAUAUUUAAAGCAUAGGCAUGCAUGCAGUGUUAUCAUGGUAACUAAUGUGCCCUCAGGUCUAAUUCCAAUGACAUCUUAUUAAGGAGAAAACUUAGAAUACAUCAGAGGUGGCGUAUCAAUACAAUAAGCAAAUGAUCUUAUGACAGGUGCGUAUUUAUUUUGAAAAACUAUUAUGUAAGUGGUGGUGGUUAUAUUAAAUUCAAAUACACAUGUCACGUAUGCAUCAAUUAAUUGUAAUACAUCAGAAGUAUUCUAAAAUCUCUCCUUAUUAAGAGGUAUUAUGAUAGUAAUUAAGAUAAAUUAAAGAAAGAAGCUUAAAACCAACAAAGUGUUGGCUCCACUGGCAAUGGAGUCCCCUUAAGUGGCUUGACUGGGUUUGCUCCCCAGUUCGAGUCGCAGGGAAGUCGCAUUUGUUGGGAGAACCUGUGCCUCCCGGUUCGAGCGGGGACUUCUAGUCUGAGUUGUGGUACGGGCUUAAAGGUGCCUCCCACAGUUGGGGCCCUCCCCAGGAUACCUCGUGGAUAAGACCAAAAAAAAAAAAAGAAAGAAGCUUAAAAGAGUCUCAUUUUUUAAUUAGUUUUUUGGUCAUCUACAUAUUUUUGUACUUGUUAUUUAUUAAUUACUUGUUUUCCUACAAUAUUAAGAGUUAGUUCUUUCUUUUAAAUUAAGGUGAUCAGUUAAUAAAAUUAUUUGAAAAUUACUCAAUUAGGUGCUUAUACAAAUAUAACGCAAUGUUGCAAUUAUUAAACCUUCACGAUAAGAAGAUUAGCAAGAAAUAAAGAAGAUUACACAUACAUUGAAGGAAACGGCAUUACUUUGUCUCACUUUCCAGGUUCUUCCAUUUCUGAGCCACCUGGGCAAGUGAUUUGGUAGAAGAUCCAUCUGGGCUCAAAGCAUUUGCGGCUGCAUCCUUUAGUGCUCUCAUCUUGCUCCUUAACAACUUCCCUUCUUCUCCUUGAAUCAAGCCCUUUGCAUAAUUGGCUAUAUCUUCUCUGCCCACCAGGCCAUUUUCAUUGACUUUGACCCUAAAUGAGACCUUCAAAUCAUCAAUCAAAAGCACAGCAUUCAUCUUUUGUUCUGCAUAGAGUGGCCAAGCAAUUAUUGGCACACCAUGCACUAUGCUUUCUAAAAUCGAGUUCCAUCCACAGUGACUCAAGAACCCUCCGGUCGAGCCAUGCCUCAGCACCUGAACCUGAGGAGACCAAGAGGGCACCACUAGACCCACCCCUUUGGUCCUAUCCAAGAACCCUUUUGGUAAAAAAUCAAAAGGAUCUUUCAUGCUCUGGAUGCCAAAAUAAGUGGCAUUUGCUGCUCUCUCAUGUGGGCUCCUAACAACCCAUAAGAAUCUCUGCCCACUCAUUUCAAGUCCUAAGGCCAAUUCAUUUAACUGCUCCGGUGAUAGGGUCCCACCACUACCAAAACAAACAAAUAGAACUGACUCACUUGGCUGCUCAUCUAACCACUUCAAACACUCAUGGCGUCUAUCGUUAUUAGUCUCAUUGGUUGAUCCGGUCUGAACCAACGGUCCAACCGGAUAAACCGGAGGAGGUUUAAAACUCGAAUCUCCUUCCAUUAAAGCCUUGAAAGCCCCCGUUUCCAAAUCCAUAAAACUAUUGACCAUAAUCCCAGCUGCUACCAGAUACUGUUUGCUAAAGCUUAAAAAAAUUCGAUAUGCCUCAUUCUUUCUCUGUUGGAACGGAUCUGCAAAAUCACGCCCGUUGAUCGGGACACAUCCGGGCAAUUGGACCGGUUCAGGCACGUCCCUAUACUCACAGCUAAACUUAACAUCAAGCUCAGGUAAGUGAAAGAUAAGAGACAGUACCAUGGCCGUUGUAGUAAAGAAAAUAUAAACAGGAACACCAAAUUCAUUAGCCACGUCGAACGCAGCCGACCCAAAAAUAUCAACAACUAGAGCAACUAGCCGAGUUGACUCCGCUAACACCUUGAGAGCAUCCCUUAGUGAAGAAAGAGAGCGAGCGAGGGUGAGUGUGAUCCGGGUUUCCAUCCGAACGUCGUCAGGCAAGUCAUCAAAACUCACAGG